UCUUCAUAUGGGACCCGUUCCACACUCAUCAUUUCUGUUGCCCUUUUCUGAAUCUUUUCCACUGCCAAUUUCUCUUUUUUGAGACAAUGAGGCGACCAUAUCUGUAAGCAGUAUUCAAGAUGGGGUCGUGCCAUGGUUUUAUACAGAGGUAUACAGUACUACAGCUGUGUGGAGUGCUGCAGCUGCAAAAUAUACAGUGUCAGUGGGGUGCUCUCGCAGCUCCGAAAGCCUGCAGCCUACCCUCGAGAGCACAGGCAGCCAGUGGUGCGCCCACGUCACUGCUGCUUUUAAAAUUCAAGGCCACAUGUUCUUUGUAUUUGUUUGGGUGUAGGAGCAAUUAUUCCUGAAAGAUCCUAUUGCUUCUAAGCUAUUGUUGCUGAGAUGGCUCUGUAAGCGUAAGUGGCAUUUUACAGGCAAGGUUCCUGCCCGGCCCUCGUGCUCUGGGGGGAGGAGGGGCGGAAGAGGGAGGUCUGGGUGAAGGAUGGGAGUGCUCCAUGGUGCUCAGCUGCUGCUUCAUGGUUCUGUGCUAUUUAAAAUCCACUGCUGGUCAAGGCCCGGAAGCACCAUGGGGAGACUGCAGGGAUCUCCUGCCGGGCCUAGGAGGCUGUCCAGGUGUCAGGAGUGGGGCAAGCAAAGGCCACGUGCUGCACGGUGCCCGAAGGAGAUGAUCAGAGAGUCGGGUGGGAGCGGAACAGUGAGAUCCCAGCAGAUGUUAACAGCUGGGAGGCAGAUGCAUGGAGGGGAGGGGCGACACGGAGGCGUGUUGGAGUGGGCAGAGGUGGGGUCUGUGCUGGGCUGAGAGAUGGCCAUGGUUUGGGCGGAAGGCUGGCAGUGUCUGAAGGUGGGGCAGUGGGGCUUGGUGGCAGCAGGACAGGUUGAGUUUGGGAGAUGGUACCUGAGCCAGAAGAAUGGGUGAGGCCAAGCCAGAGAAAGGAGGCAAACACUCAGAUGUGCAGCGCUUGGGAUGCCUGUGGCCAUCAGAGCGCCGGUUGCUUUCGGUGCUUGCUGACCCCUCGCGGCACUUGACUGAUUCAAGAUGAGUUGGGUGUUUGAGGCAAUUUCGGUCAUUUUCUUUUUUAGCUUCUCCAGAUCCUCAGGCCCUGCAAGGGACAGUCGGGGCAGCAUCUGUCCUUUUCCAGCCAGAGCCUUUGGCAGAAAAUGAGAUUGACUUGGCCCCUCCCCAGCUGUGGCGUCUGGCCUUCCUGCUGCAGUUGGGUUUGUGUAAUGGGAGAGGGAGAGAAACGCAUCCCGUUGGAACGGGUUUUAAACGUGGAUGCAGCAGACAUGGCGGCUGUGGCUGGUUGCCCAGCAUGGCUUGCAGAGAGUACGUUUUGAUGAACAAUGUGGAACAGCCUCCCCCUGGUCAUGUGUCCUGUGCAAUUUCCACCCUGCCCCAUGGCUGUGCUGAGCAGGCGGGGGCAUUCGUGCAGUGCGCCGUUGGCCAGCAAGACUGGCUCGGACUCGGGCUGAGUGACUCCAGGUUGUCUUGGCUUUUUCUCUGUAAAACAUAGUAAAUCAAAUGCUAACAGGCCGUUUCCCAGCACCGCAUGAAGUUCCCCAGCUGAGAGUCAGGACUCUGCACUCAAGUCUGUUUUCUCUGUGAGUUUCGUGUGCCGCUGUGCAGGAAGAGGGGCACCCCGUGCCGACUGCUGCGCGGGAGCCUCACUGCAUUACUGGUUUCUUCGGCCUGGGAGAGAUGAGGCAGUGGUGUUUGGCGUGGCAAUGAGCCGUGCAAUAUGCCUUUUGUCCCCUGGCCACGCUGCUAGGUCUCACCGCUCGCAGCUUCCCUUCCUUCCGCUGCUUGCGAACUUGGGAUUUACCUUGAGCUCCUCAGAACACACUGCACUAGCCCUGAGUCAACACAGUGCUCCUCGCGGGGACCUGCUGUCUACACCAGGGCUGGUAAUGUCUGGCCCCAGUUCUGCCAAACUUGGCUCCCCACACGCAGCUGGGCUGCCGGGACAGUGUUACAUGGAGGGUGGAGCAGGCACAUAGCCCUCUCCUCCUACUGUGCCUUCAGGAAAUGGAGCUACAGCAGCUGUAUGUGUGCAUGAUCAGUGCCCCCUCCCUGGCCUCCUACCCUGUCCAGCCCCGUCAAUGUCCGCACCCCUAUUGUUCUGAUUCAGCUCUUCCGUGUCAGGGCAGGGGCCCAGCAAAUGCUGUGUCUGCAUCUGGGUCCUGGGAGGAGGGGCUUGGGUGAGAACAGAGGGAAUGGUUUUUCCCUUGCAGGCGCCCUGCGAGUUCCCAUAGCUUGGUCCCCUCCCUAGGUGUGCUUUCGACCCCCAGCCCAGCUGGGCAGGAGUGACUGAGAGCCAGCCAGCUGAGCUGAGUGUUUGGGACAAGUAGCAGAGCUGUGUGUGCUGCUUCCUGAGAGCCACGGCUGCAGAGCGCUCCCCUCCAGCUCUGUUACCUCUCUGGCAGGCUGGUGAAACCUGCUCUCCAGCAGAGGACGCGGGCUUUCCGCACAGUGGGAGUCCCCUGCGCGGCAGCGUUUGUCUCUCCCCAGAGUGGCAGCUGGAAGUGGGCUCCUGGUGUCGGAAAGUGCCAGGACCGCUGAUAUCUCUGGGCUGUUGCGCAGCAGCUGACCACCAUGUGGAGGCUUUCUCCUGGGGUCAUUCAACUCCCCGCCACAGUCCCACCCUCUGUUUUCAAGGGCAUUCACAGACUACAUUCCCUGCCAGGCGGGGCCAUGCCCCAGGGGCCUCUGGCAUUCCCACUCUGCUCUGCUUUGCUGCACAGUCGCAUGGCCCUCUCCUUGGGCCUGACACGCACGGCGGCUGCCCAGGUGGACAGCUGUUAUUUUUAGGGAAAUAUUUCAAUUGCUUCAGCUGCUUCUCAUUAAGAGAUCGUCCAAACUCCCCAAGUUCCCUGCCAUUCUGCCACUGGGCUUAAUGGGGGAGGGGUGCAGUGCUCAGAGCAGUGGUAUGUGAAUGGGGCAGAUGAUUCGCAGAGCACUGCUUUUGUUUUAGGAGAGGAGCCUUUCCAUCGUGCUGCUGUGACU